ensembl:lncRNA
AUGGAGAGGAUGGAGGUGGACCAGUGCGCAGGCGCAGGAGGAGCCCUCCGAAGGUCCAACAGCGCCCCCAUGAUCACGAACGUCAGUGAUGGGACGACAGUAUUCAGCUCUAAUAGUUCGGCUCGGUAUCGUCGGAGCAGCGUUUCUGUGAACCCGAGCUGUCCCUCACGGAUCCUUCCUCUGUCCCCAUUCUCGCUGUCUUGUGAGAGAUCCGAACACAAGAGACAGAUUGAGAAUAUGGAACUCACUUUGAGAGGAAGUUUACAGAGACUAAGUGCCUCGCCUGCUGUUCACUUCCCUCCUGCGAGUCAUUGGCAUGACCAUCUGUCUCCAGGAUUCCAUUCCCAGGACAGCGGUGUCACUCCUAAUUCCUCACCCAGUCCAACUCGAAGGUUUCGAGGAGGAUCCGUGAGCUCUGGAGUGAGAUGGCCAUCAGUUGCACCUUUGAAAAGGAAAGGUGGAGUGGAAUCGGACGGUCCGCCCAAAAAGCUCUUUGUUGCUGGAGUCACAGACCCUGCUCACAUAACCAGUUACACAGUCAGUGUUUCCCAGCCAGUGGACUCUUCUUCUGGGACUGCUCCUGUUGGUUCAAACACCCAGGCCACCCCCCUGUCCCUCUCCCCUCCGCCCCCCUUCACCUCUCACCACCCCAGCAUCUAAACCCCAGUAUUCAUCACAUCAUCACCUUGUAGAGCUUCGGAUGCAAGGUGUUGUAAAAUGAAGACCAAACUUCAGCCUAAUCUCAUUUCUAUCCCUUUUUGUUUUCUGCUUUUAAUUUGGUGCUUUGAAUAGAGUAUUUCAGCUCAAUCACUUCUGAAGGAAAUUCGAACUAGUUGUUACUUUGGUAUCAAGAUGCAAUAUAAGAAGACAAAAUCUUCUGGAUGUAUCUGACAUGUCAACGUGGAUGCUGCAGGCUAUCGUGUAAUUUGUGAAUAAUUAUGGAACUUUGUUUGCUGUAUAUAUGAAAUAGUAUCUGCAAUAACACAUUUGCAAUGAAAGUGUUCAGGUAGUUGAAACCUGGCGAAUACUGACACAAAGACCUUAGUGUACAGACUCAAAAGAAAGACCAGUUUUGCUCCUUUUCGUUUUCCUCGAGUUGUGGCAAAACAUUUUUGUAUUUUGGUACAUCUUCAGCUUCCAUU